GGCUCAGGAUGAACGCUGGCGGUAUGCCUAACACAUGCAAGUCGAACGAGGUGUUUUCGGACACUUAGUGGCGGACGGGUGAGUAACACGUGAGAACCUACCUUCAGAACGGGGACAACAGUUGGAAACGACUGCUAAUACCCGAUGUGCCGAGAGGUGAAAGAUUUAUCGUCUGAAGAUGGGCUCGCGUCUGAUUAGCUAGUUGGGGGUGUAAGAGACCACCAAGGCGACGAUCAGUAGCUGGUCUGAGAGGAUGAGCAGCCACACUGGGACUGAGACACGGCCCAGACUCCUACGGGAGGCAGCAGUGGGGAAUUUUCCGCAAUGGGCGAAAGCCUGACGGAGCAAUACCGCGUGAGGGAGGAAGGUCCUUGGAUUGUAAACCUCUUUUAUCAGGGAAGAAAAAAAUGACGGUACCUGAUGAAUAAGCAUCGGCUAACUCCGUGCCAGCAGCCGCGGUAAUACGGAGGAUGCGAGCGUUAUCCGGAAUUAUUGGGCGUAAAGCGUCCGUAGGUGGUUUUGCAAGUCUGCCGUCAAAGAAUGGAGCUCAACUCCAUACCGGCGGUGGAAACUGUGAGACUAGAGUACAGUAGGGGUAGCAGGAAUUCCCAGUGUAGCGGUGAAAUGCGUAGAUAUUGGGAAGAACAUCGGUGGCGAAAGCGUGCUACUGGGCUGAAACUGACACUGAGGGACGAAAGCUAGGGUAGCGAAAGGGAUUAGAUACCCCUGUAGUCCUAGCCGUAAACGAUGGAUACUAGGCGUGGCUUGUAUCGACCCGAGCCGUGCCGAAGCUAACGCGUUAAGUAUCCCGCCUGGGGAGUACGCUCGCAAGAGUGAA
rnacentral:rRNA from 1 species